GACGAACGCUGGCGGCGUGCUUAACACAUGCAAGUCGAACGGAAAGGCCCUGCUUUUGCGGGGUGCUCGAGUGGCGAACGGGUGAGUAACACGUGAGUAACCUGCCCUUGACUUUGGGAUAACUUCAGGAAACUGGGGCUAAUACCGGAUAGGAGCUCCUGCUGCAUGGUGGGGGUUGGAAAGUUUCGGCGGUUGGGGAUGGACUCGCGGCUUAUCAGCUUGUUGGUGGGGUAGUGGCUUACCAAGGCUUUGACGGGUAGCCGGCCUGAGAGGGUGACCGGCCACAUUGGGACUGAGAUACGGCCCAGACUCCUACGGGAGGCAGCAGUGGGGAAUACUGCACAAUGGGCGGAAGCCUGAUGCAGCAACGCCGCGUGCGGGAUGACGGCCUUCGGGUUGUAAACCGCUUUCGCCUGUGACGAAGCGUGAGUGACGGUAAUGGGUAAAGAAGCACCGGCUAACUACGUG
rnacentral:rRNA from 1 species